CACGUACAUGGUACUUUUAUUAGUUAUCUGACAAAUGGAGCUUACGAGAUGCCUUAAAUAAUUCUGCAGUGCAGACUUCUCCAGGAAUGGUCAUGACCAAGUGAUCCAGAGGGUCCCAUUUCUUUGAAUUUAGUGAAUAUUCUAAUACUGGAGCUGGUUAAAGAAUGUUUCUCUACCUCGUACAGAACAAAGGCAACUAACUGUCUCUUCUAUAAAUAGAUGAAAAUGAUUAAUUCACAGAAAACAUUGUGUAAAUUUAUAGCAUUUGAAUUUAUAAAUGUGAUUAUGAAGAUGGAUGGAGCCCAUCAGCUCUCUGCUCUCUGUUUUCCAACCAAGCGCAGCUAACAGAGCUAGAAAAAACUGCAGCUUCCUGAAGAUGCUGAUUAGAAAUUUAGCCAGCCUGUUCACAC
rnacentral:lncRNA from 1 species